GUGACAGUUUGCAUAGAGUGGUCUUGUCCUAUUAAGCAACUGAUGUUAUGAGAGGGAUCUUUUGUUCUUUAUAGCUUUUGUAGAAACACAACUCCUGGCUAUAACUAAGUUGAAAUCCUCUGGGAGGGGAAAAAGGUUCCUACUUUUUAAAGGGAAACCUUGCGAUUUAACAGAUUAUAAGUGUUAUGAGAAAUGGUCUCUAACAGUGCACUGUCAAUUUUGAGGCACAAGUUGAAGUUGGGUUUUCCUAGCUUCACAGUACAGAACGUAAAAUGGUGAAAUCCAAAUGUUCACCUCACUUUUUGAACAAUGUGAGCAAUGGAAAAGUCCUGGGGUUGGAGCCCGGAUAGGGUUCCUGUUGUCUUCCAUAUGUUGUUGCACUGCAACUCCUAUCAACCAUGGGCACCAUGGCCAAGGAAGGUAGGAGUUGUAGUCCAACUGUAUCUUGAGGGCUACAGGAACCUCCUUUCUGUUUUAGAAAGAAUGGGAGGCAGUGGGGUACUGAAAGGUGAGAGGGGUCAUGGACCCAGGAGUCCAGCAGGAGGACCCAAGUGGCUUCUCUGUGAUAGAGGAGGUGCUGCUGCUCUGCUAUCUUUCUCCACUUCAGCACUACCACUACUACUGAUAGCUAGAGAGCCAUGUUGCAUUGGCUGGCUCAGUAGGAAUCAGGGGACACAUGGAGCCAAUAGGGCUCCACCUAGUUCAAUAAAUCAGCUGACUAGGGUAUGGCUCCUCAAUCUGGUUUAAGGAUUGUGCGAACAUGCAGGCUCUCAGAGAAGAACUUGGAGCCCUCUUUACUGCACCUCCUGGUCCAUUUCACUGUUGUUUGGCUUAGUGAUUCAUCAGAACCGGGACUCAUGCUUAAGCACUCUCAUUUCCAGGCAUGAGCUGAGAACAAACCCCAUGUCUCCCUGUCUUGUGCAGACCACGCCUCUAACAAACUCAUUGCUCAGGCACAGAUUGAGUUCUUAUUGCCCAUUCCCACUUCUGAACCCAUACUUGGGGAUGCCACCCCCCCCAUAAUCAAUUCAUACUAGUUUCUUUCUUUGGUCUGUUUCUGCUGCUGAAAUCAAGGGACUGAUGCCAAUAUUUCCAUCAGAGUAAGUAAGCUGUAAUUGGCUUGUGGACAUUAUCCUAGCAGGAGCAUGCUGGCUACUUGUAUGGAGCGGGUGGCCGGCAAUGAGUAGGCUGCAGUUUUGUAAUACUGAGCCUAAUUGGGUAUAAGUGAAUUAUUUCUAGAUCCAUGACCAGCAUAAAUGAGGCUGCAUUAAUUCCAGGCAUGCAGCUGAUGGCUACAGUUUUGCAUAUCCCUAGACAAUGUCUGACCUAAUCAUGAUGAUGUAAAUAGAGUUGCCGGUCCAGAACAUUCAUACUUACUCUACUGAUGUGUCUCUGCCUAAAAUAAAGAAGUUGGUCUGCUUCCUCCUGGGUUGGAUUUUUACCCCAAUCUUCCUGUUGCCUCAGGCCUUUUAAGGAGAAAACUUUGUUGGCAGUGGGCUUGGGUGUUUUAGCAGCUUUGGGAAAUAACUCUGUGCUCUAGUUGAGUACCCGGAAUGAAUUAUGUUCGUAACCAGAGGUACCACUGUACCCAGUUACAGACAGCUUUGUUUUUGUUGGUGGUUUUAGAAAAAUGAUGGUAACCCACCCUAUUUUAUAAUAUUUGUAACCAACCCCAUCUUGACAGCUUGGCAAUUGAACCCAGCCAUAAACCCCAUUGCAGCAGCCAUCACACAGCCGUAUUCCAGAACAUCUGGAGAGCCACCACAGGUUGGCCCCCAAUUGGUGUCCUUGAGCUCAUGGGUGGGCUCUUGAUCCAGGAGAAUCAACUGUCAGCAGAAGUAUAUGGGGGAAGGGGAUUUUUGUCAAAUGAAAGGAUCUGAUUUUGCUAUGCACUGGUCUGUGAUCAGAGUUUGAGGAUAGAGGGAAGCCUUUGCUUAACUUGGGCUCUUCUCUGCUUCAGAAUCUCAUUUUAUGUUUGAUUUGUUCCAAGUGCUCCAAAUAUUGAUGCAAAUGAAGUAGGGAAAGGGCAAAGUGAUUGUGUAACCCAGCCUACAGUGGGGCGCUUUCUGCUCUUUUAAUGAUAAUGUACCUACUCUUCUGGAAGGAAGAAAACCUUCCAACAUGCCCUUGUCUUUCAAUAUAGUAAAUCUCCAUAGAAUACUCUACAGCAUACUUCAUGCUCAAUAGUUGCUGGGAAUCAAAGCCUUUUGCUGCUGUAUUUCUUGAUAACAGCCCACAAGAGUUCAGUAGGCUUUGAAAUUCAAGGCGCAGCAAGGAGAAUAGUCUGCUGCCCUUUAAUUUGAUGUUUUCUUUCUUUUUUAAAAGAUAUGCCUUUUACAGUGAUUGGUACAGAUCCAAGAUCUAUUAUUCUGUGCAAUCUGCAUUCAUUCGUGCUGAGAUAAGGGGAAGCAUUUUCAGCAUUGCUGAAAAUGAUGUGAAACGAUAAAUAGCCCAGAUAUGGGGGCGGGGGGAGAGGAGAAAGGGCAGGCUGUGCACUUGGAAAACAAAACCUGCUGUUGAGCUCAGAUGGGUAGGAGGAGGUUAGAAUCUUCCUGAUAAUAUAAACAGGGCCAGUUUGUCAGCAGCGCUCUGUUGAUAAUGAACCGAUUGUUUCCUGCCCACAUAGAGAUGGGUUUGUCAAAACUUCUCUGAGGGUCAAAGAUCCGCUGGAAGAAGCUGAGUCACUCUGUUUUUCUCUUUAGGGUUGAUGGUUUGCUUAGGGAACUGCAUGUCUGCUGUGCAGCGCUUCUGUAGCCUUAGCCCUGUUGCAAGCCAAGGGUGUCUAAGAGAUUGUUCUGGUUCAUAAUAACCACGUGCUAUUGGCUGCUAUGGUGGUUGGUCUGUUGCGUAUAAGAGGGAGAAACUGGCAUAGAAUCAUAGAAUUGUAAAGUUGGAAGGGACCUUGCAGAUCAUCUAGUUCAGGGGUCAGCAAACUUUUUCACCAGGGGGCCGGUCCACUGUCCCUUAGACCUUGUGGGGUGCCGGACUAUAUUUUUUGGGGGGAAAUGAACGAACUCCCAUGCCCCACAAAUAACCCAGAGAUGCAUUUUAAAUAAAAGGACACAUUCUACUCAUGUAAAAACAUGCUGAUUCCCGGACCGUCUGGAGGCUGGAUUUAGAAGGUGAUUGGGCUGGAUCCGGCCCCCGGGCCUUAGUUUGCCUACCCAUGAUCUAGGUCAACUGCCUGCAAUGCAGGAAUAUGCAGCUGCCCCAUACAGAGAUCAAGCCUGCAACCCUGCUGUUAUUAGCACCAUGCUCUAACCAACUGAGCUAUCCAUGGUGGGGGAAAUUCAAGGUUUGCAGAAGGACUAAAAACAUUUUUGGAUAAACAACCUCAAGAGUGGGGAUCCCCAAACAGCUCCCUGAGCAUCUGCUGUGGCCACAGGGUGCUAUUUGAGAUGGGUGAAACAGAAAACCGGGGGUUGGAGAAGGAAAGGAAUGAGCUACUCUUGAAGAGAACCCUGGAACAGGAGCACUCUACACUACAGCAUUUUGUUGUGAGUUCCAGGGCUCAGUGGAUAUUUGGACCUGGAUUUUCCCAGUCGUUCAUUCAUUCAUUUUAUUUGUAUGCCAAAUCCUGCUCAAAGCAGCUUACAACAAAGAAACAGGGAUGCGUUUCAAACACAACAAAAUCAAUUUCAUAAUAGCAUAGCAAAACAAUAGUGAAUAUAACAACAUACCAAAAUAACACAUCCCACUACAGCAUGUCGGUACAGUAUGAGAAAUGUAAUCUCAGGGUUGUGUGUUCAAACCCCACAUUGGGCAAAAGAUUCCUGCAUUGCAGGGGUGGGACUAGAUGACCCUCUUGGUCCCUUCCAACUCUUCUGUUCUACGAUUCAAUGAAAUAAUAACAAGAUUACUAAGACAGCAUUCAGCACCCAAUAGCAAAAAUAACAAGGGAGCGUCACAGUUUCACCUUAGUCCUAGAAAACACUCCUCCUAUGAUGUUGCUCAGUCCUAACUCUGCACUGUAAACCACUACAUCUCACUGGUUCUCAUAGCUCAAGGAAUAGUUUAAAAUAUGUGUGAGAGUUGUAAAAGGCUUAGGUUAGCAUCAAAAGAGCCCUUUUCACACAUUUGCCUGGUUUAGACAUCGGACUAAGUCAGCCAUUGCAAACCUAGUGCUUUCCAGAUCCUUUGAUGAGACUUGUAGUCCAAAACAUCUGGAGGACACCAAGUUGGCAAAUGCAGUGUUAAAGCAUAGGUGGUGUUGUUGUAGGUUUUAAUGUGAAUGGAUAACAACUGGUGUGCACUGUGCCGAGUUCCUACUAAGUUCCUCCCCUCCUCAUCUGAUUGAUGUGAACUCAUGGUUUGCAUCAUGCAGAGUGAGUUUCUGAUUGUUUCCUCCCCUAGCAUGGCAAAUGGGUUAGCAGGGGCUGGAACAAAUUGUGAACUUCUGAGCAGCUUUCAGAUUAAACCAUAGUUUACUAUCAACAUGAUUUCUGCAGCAGGCCAUUAAAGGCCUGUGCCAUCCACUGAAUCUUCCUCCUUUGGUUUUGGAUACCAUUGUAUCCAUCAAUCCCAAAUGUUUUGUGCAUCCUUUAACUUUUCAAGGUAACAGAAUUGGUCCUCUCUGUGAACAUAAGAUAGAGCCUUGUUUCUAUGACAUUUUCAUUCCAAGGAAGCAUGUGGAAUUCUGCCAGCCCUGAGCUCGGUCCAGUUAUUUAUCUGCUUCACAUUUAAAACUAACAAAAGGGAACUGGCCCUAUUUCCUCAUCGAUAUAUUUAGCUGGUGGAGAGCUGAGUACAUGUUGAGCAAUAGAAGUUUGCUACUUGUUUCCUUUGCAGCUUGUCCGUUAACUUUAUUUUGGAAAACGGGUCGUUCUAAAAGAUCUAUUCUUUCAGUGUGGCUGUUUUUUCUUCUUCUGUUGUUUCAAUGCCUUGCUUGUUUUCUUCCUCCUGAUUUUGUUAUGCUCAGUGGAGUGUUGCUGGCAGUGUAUGCCAGUGAGGCUCCUUAUACAGAGUCCGAUCACUGGCCUAUCUCUUCCAGUGCUGGCUGCUCUGACUUAAAGUGGCUCUCCCUCGCCUUGUGAGUGGUUUAGUGGUUAGAGUGUUGUACUAGGACUGGAGAGACUAGUUCAACACUCUGCCCAGCUAUAGGAGGUCACUGGGUUUUGGGCAUCCUUGAGCCUGUCACUGUCUAACCAACCUCACAGAGUUGUUGUGGGGAGUGAAAUGGGGAAAGGGAACUGUGCAAGCUGCUUCGAGCUCCUUUGAGGAAAGGCAAUGUAAUGAAUAAAAUCAGUAAAAGGCCUUUCCUAGUCCUUCUACUGAAGAGCAAAACAGAGAAAUACUCUCUGGACAACUAGCACUCGGAAACAAAUGAAAGGUCAGGGGAAUAAUGGUAAACUUUUACUAACACACACACAUAUAGAUAAAAUGUGUUAAUGAAUUAGAGCAAUAUCAAUGCAGUAAUUAAAACACCACACCCACAUGUUAAGUGCUAUUUUAAGUGAUUUGAUCCAUUUUAAUGCAGUCACUCUGAAUGUUAAGAAAUGCCACAAAAGACGACUUAUGAGUUCAAACAUGUCUAUUUUAAGCAAUUAUUCUGGUUAGGGUGUUUGUAGCUAGUCACAGCUUUCACUAAUUAUAUCAUUUAGUAUUUAUACUCUCUUCCAAAUACUUGUGAAAAUGUCAUGUGCACUAGUUAAUUCGUGUUUGUAGUUUACUUCGGCUCUUGACCAGAGGUUGUUGAAGACUGACCCUGGGACCUCCUGCAGUCAAUGCAUAUGCUUAACCCCUUGAACCUGUGGCCUCUUCCCAAACCAGGGUUGGGUGUAUUUGUCCUUCAGAAAUGCUGGAUUUUUAUACCUUAAGCAAGAGGUACAUGGAUGCUUUAGCUGAGAUUCCUGCUUAUCAGAGGGUUGGACUAGAUGACCCUUGGUGUCCCUUCCAGCUCUACUGUUCUGUGAUCAUGAUUGCUUGUGGGAAGGGCCAAAGAGCUAUGCAGGGUGCAUAGAAAUCUGGGGGUAUCGUCUCUGGCUUGAGAAAGAGAGAGAGCCCCAGAUAUUGCUUGCACAUCUUAAGGAUAGCUGGAUCCAAGUCAAUUCAAAACCUAAAUGGAAGCAAAUAAUUUCCCCUUAAUUCCUCUUUGCUCUGUGUUGCAGACAGAGCCUUCUUUGUAUCCAAAGUUCCCUGAUGAAAGGCCAAUUGUGGCACUAAGUUGUGUUAGGUUCUGUUUAUUUACUAAGAUAUUCUUCUUUCCACUGCUGUGCUUUAAAUUUUUGCAUAAGGGCUACAUUUAAAAACAAAACAAAAACCAAAGAGCUGAGAUUUUUCAGGAUCCUGAAUUCUCUUCCCAAGACCUACUUUCUUUGCCAGUGAGUUGUUUGCCCAGAAUACGCAAAGCCCCUGAACAUGACAAAAUUGUGCAACCACGGAACAAUAAUUUCAGGUGAAAGAAGCAGGACUCGGGAGUAAAUGCUUGCUUAAAAAGAAGAAGAGUUUAUGUUCCUUUUGCUGAAUUUGUUUGCCAGGGUGUUCCUAGAACAGGCCCCCCCCCCCCUUCUUAAGGUGCUUAUUUCCAUUGCAGAGAAGGGUACUCCUUCCUUUCUAGGAAGCAACUCUAUGGUGGCUGUUUCCUGUAUAUUAACAGUGACUGCUUGCAAGGAAUCAUGGGAAGGAUUUGAAAACACAGUAAAUAACUGUAUGAGGCACCUCUCCUUGACUUCCAUUUGGGUGCGAGCUGUACUUCAAAAAGAUUAAAAAGGAGAAGAAACGGGGGGGGGGGAGCGGCUGGGAGAAUAAGGGCAUUUGGAUUAUCACAAGUCAUGUAUGUGGUAUACAGACACUCCUCUGUCUAGGGGAAGCCAGCCUUCAUGAAAUGCCAUCUCCAUUCUGAAGUUCAUUUGGCCCCUCUUCUGGCAAACUUUUGGAAUAAUUUGUGAACAUGGCCAAACUGGUGAUGCUUGUAGACUGAAGAGAGAUCUGUGGGUGAUCUAAUAUUGUGCACAAGUGGAUUUAAAGUUGCACCAACAGAGUGUCCCCUUCUUAAAGUCCUCCCUCCUACUCCAAAGGGUCUCAUAGUUUAUACAGAACAGAUUUGGGGGGUAUAUUUGAGGGGACUGUGGGCAUCGGGGAAGUAGACGCCUGUUCUGCCACCAGGUAGGCACAGUUGAUCUGAGUUUAGGCACUACAGAUUUUUGUUGCAUUUCUGUAAGGGCACUUGAAUCUGACACAGAGGCUGCCUUCACACCAUACAUGUAAAGUACCUCCCCCUGCAAAAUAAUCAUGGGAACUGUAGUUUAAGGGUGCUGGAUAUUGUAGUUCUGUGAGGGUUAAACUACAGUUCCUAGGAUUCUUUUUUUUGGGGGGGGUUGUUUUGUGGAUCUACACUGUGGAUUUAAUGUUUAUUUCCUUGGAGUGCUUCAGCUAAACUUCCUAGGACAGUUCUCUUACCCUGAGGUUUCUACUGUCUUCAGAUAAGUUGGGGUUCAUUAAUUUGUGGAAUGGCCCAGGUACCCUCUUCGUUUUCAAUUUGCCAUGUUUCCACAUAGCUAACAUCUGUAUUUGUUAAGAGGCUUUUCUUUCAGCUGAGAAGAGGGCUUUUGACUGGUCAGUUUUGCUAAGCAAACAGCUCCUCUGUUUGUAAACUGUCCUUGAUAUUUUUUCAGGCACUGGCAUUCCUGCUCUGCUGUUCAUUGUCUGCCAUAAGCCUCUCAUGCUGCCUAUACGUGACUGAUAAAUCACAACCUUUUCAAGGUAGUUUUUUCCACUUCCACAGAAUGUAACUGGACCAGCUUAUUUGUGCGGCAGAACAAAGGCUUAUGACAAACCAAUCUUCUAAUGUCAACAAGCAGUGCAGACUCUUAAAAACGGUUACCUGGAGAAUGGUUGAAACUCUGGCAGUUUCCAGGUUAGGGUGUAGCCAGAAUUCUAAUUGCUCAGUGUUGACUUUUCACAAGGACAGUAGCUGGUGAAUUCACUUCAAAGGGGGCCUUUAGCCAUAGAUACAAUUCUCUGCCAGCUAGAGCUGUUGGCUUGCUGGGGAGAACUGCAGAACAGUGAUCUGCAUUGGGAUAGUGAGGAGUUUAUGCAUUUUGCAAAUGCCACUUUGUGGGUCCUUAGCAAUUCCCUUGUGUCUCUCAAAACUGCAGCAG